rnacentral:snoRNA from 1 species
UUGCAUUCUCAAACCCUUUUUGCAGCACUGCUCUCUGUGCUUCCAUGAAUGCGAGAGAAAUUACCAAGGAGUCCAAAAGGGUGUACUUUUCCUGUGGCUCAUUCUUAUUUCACACCCAUGACAUCU